CCUACGGGGGGCUGCAGUGAGGAAUAUUGGUCAAUGGGCGAGAGCCUGAACCAGCCAAGUCGCGUGAAGGAUGAAGGAUCUAUGGUUUGUAAACUUCUUUUAUAUGGGAAUAAAGUGAGGAACGUGUUCCUUUUUGUAUGUACCAUAUGAAUAAGCAUCGGCUAACUCCGUGCCAGCAGCCGCGGUAAUACGGAGGAUGCGAGCGUUAUCCGGAUUUAUUGGGUUUAAAGGGUGCGUAGGCGGGCUGUUAAGUCAGCGGUAAAAGCCCGGGGCUCAACCCCGGCGAGCCGUUGAAACUGGCUGUCUUGAGAUGUCGAGAGGUAUGCGGAAUGCGCAGUGUAGCGGUGAAAUGCUUAGAUAUUGCGCAGAACUCCGAUUGCGAAGGCAGCAUACCGGCGGCGAUCUGACGCUGAGGCACGAAAGCGUGGGUAUCGAACAGGAUUAGAUACCCGAGUAGUC
rnacentral:rRNA from 1 species